rfam:Amycolatopsis australiensis strain DSM 44671 genome assembly, contig: Ga0074771_106
CUUGACCGAGCCGAGCCACAGCGGGCGGUCCCGGUCCUGGCCGUAGGUCGCGAGCAGGGCAUGCGCCUC